UACGGAGGGUGCAAGCGUUAUUCGGAAUUACUGGGCGUAAAGCGUGCGCAGGCGGUUUGUUAAGUCUGCUGUGAAAUCCCCGAGCUCAACUUGGGAAUUGCAGUGGAUACUGGCAAGCUGGAGUACGGUAGAGGAAGGUGGAAUUCCCGGUGUAGCAGUGAAAUGCGUAGAGAUCGGGAGGAACACCAGUGGCGAAGGCGGCCUUCUGGACCAGUACUGACGCUCAUGCACGAAAGCGUGGGGAGCAAACAGG
rnacentral:rRNA from 1 species